rnacentral:rRNA from 1 species
GACGAACGCUGGCGGCGUGCUUAACACAUGCAAGUCGAACGAUGAAGCCUAGCUUGCUGGGUGGAUUAGUGGCGAACGGGUGAGUAACACGUGAGUAACCUGCCCCUUUCUCUGGGAUAAGCGCUGGAAACGGCGUCUAAUACUGGAUAUGCCUCAUCACCGCAUGGUGUGUGGGGGGAAAGAUUUAUCGGAGAGGGAUGGACUCGCGGCCUAUCAGCUUGAUGGUGAGGUAAUGGCUCACCAUGGCGACGACGGGUAGCCGGCCUGAGAGGGUGACCGGCCACACUGGGACUGAGACACGGCCCAGACUCCUACGGGAGGCAGCAGUGGGGAAUAUUGCACAAUGGGCGCAAGCCUGAUGCAGCAACGCCGCGUGAGGGAUGACGGCCUUCGGGUUGUAAACCUCUUUUAGUAGGGAAGAAGCGAAAGUGACGGUACCUGCAGAAAAAGCACCGGCUAACUACGUGCCAGCAGCCGCGGUAAUACGUAGGGUGCAAGCGUUGUCCGGAAUUAUUGGGCGUAAAGAGCUCGUAGGCGGUUUGUCGCGUCUGCCGUGAAAUCCCGAGGCUCAACCUCGGGCUUGCGGUGGGUACGGGCAGGCUAGAGUGCGGUAGGGGAGAUUGGAAUUCCUGGUGUAGCGGUGGAAUGCGCAGAUAUCAGGAGGAACACCGAUGGCGAAGGCAGAUCUCUGGGCCGUUACUGACGCUGAGGAGCGAAAGCAUGGGGAGCGAACAGGAUUAGAUACCCUGGUAGUCCAUGCCGUAAACGUUGGGAACUAGAUGUAGGGCCUGUUCCACGGGUUCUGUGUCGUAGCUAACGCAUUAAGUUCCCCGCCUGGGGAGUACGGCCGCAAGGCUAAAACUCAAAGGAAUUGACGGGGGCCCGCACAAGCGGCGGAGCAUGCGGAUUAAUUCGAUGCAACGCGAAGAACCUUACCAAGGCUUGACAUAUACGAGAACGGGCCAGAAAUGGUCAACUCUUUGGACACUCGUAUACAGGUGGUGCAUGGUUGUCGUCAGCUCGUGUCGUGAGAUGUUCGGUUAAGUCCGGCAACGAGCGCAACCCUUGUCCUAUGUUGCCAGCACGUUAUGGUGGGAACUCAUGGGAUACUGCCGUGGUCAACACGGAGGAAGGUGGGGAUGACGUCAAAUCAUCAUGCCCCUUAUGUCUUGGGCUUCACGCAUGCUACAAUGGCCGGUACAAAGGGCUGCGAUACCGUAAGGUGGAGCGAAUCCCAAAAAGCCGGUCUCAGUUCGGAUUGGGGUCUGCAACUCGACCCCAUGAAGUCGGAGUCGCUAGUAAUCGCAGAUCAGCAACGCUGCGGUGAAUACGUUCCCGGGCCUUGUACACACCGCC